rnacentral:lncRNA from 1 species
UUUCACCUUAGAGUCUUUACCAAUUGACAAGAUGUCCUCAGGGGUAUAAUCUUUCUUUUCUUUUGGGACCAUUUUCUGGGGUUCAUCUGCAAGCCCAACAGAGAGCUUGGUAGGCAUAUGUGGUCCAUCAUAGAUCCUGUCAAGGUAUUCUGGAUCAACAGAGUCUAAGAAUAUGAUCAUUCUCUCUUUCCAGACUGGAUAUUCAGAUGCCUUAAGGAUUGGAACUCUAAAGGACGAAGCUUGUGAUUUUUCAGACAUGAUUGUGUUUAAGAUCUCACUGUAGUAAUCUUAACAGAGCUGGCUCUGAUACCACUUGUUAG